AACGUAGGUCACAAGCGUUGUCCGGAAUUACUGGGUGUAAAGGGAGCGCAGGCGGGAAGACAAGUUGGAAGUGAAAUCCAUGGGCUCAACCCAUGAACUGCUUUCAAAACUGUUUUUCUUGAGUAGUGCAGAGGUAGGCGGAAUUCCCGGUGUAGCGGUGGAAUGCGUAGAUAUCGGGAGGAACACCAGUGGCGAAGGCGGCCUACUGGGCACCAACUGACGCUGAGGCUCGAAAGUGUAGGUAGCAAACAGG
rnacentral:rRNA from 1 species